AGGGAAUCUUCCGCAAUGGGCGAAAGCCUGACGGAGCAACGCCGCGUGAGUGAUGAAGGUCUUCGGAUCGUAAAACUCUGUUAUUAGGGAAGAACAAAUGUGUAAGUAACUAUGCACGUCUUGACGGUACCUAAUCAGAAAGCCACGGCUAACUACGUGCCAGCAGCCGCGGUAAUACGUAGGUGGCAAGCGUUAUCCGGAAUUAUUGGGCGUAAAGCGCGCGUAGGCGGUUUUUUAAGUCUGAUGUGAAAGCCCACGGCUCAACCGUGGAGGGUCAUUGGAAACUGGAAAACUUGAGUGCAGAAGAGGAAAGUGGAAUUCCAUGUGUAGCGGUGAAAUGCGCAGAGAUA
rnacentral:rRNA from 1 species